rnacentral:rRNA from 1 species
ACGCCGACCUCAGAUCAGGUAAGA